GAUGAACGCUGGCGGCGUGCUUAACACAUGCAAGUCGAACGGAAAGGCUCCUGCUUGCAGGGGUACUCGAGUGGCGAACGGGUGAGUAACACGUGGGUGAUCUGCCCAGCACUUCGGGAUAAGCCUGGGAAACUGGGUCUAAUACCGGAUAGGACGAUGGUUUGGAUGCCAUUGUGGAAAGUUUUUUCGGUGUGGGAUGAGCUCGCGGCCUAUCAGCUUGUUGGUGGGGUAAUGGCCUACCAAGGCGUCGACGGGUAGCCGGCCUGAGAGGGUGUACGGCCACCUUGGGACUGAGAUACGGCCCAGACUCCUACGGGAGGCAGCAGUGGGGAAUAUUGCACAAUGGGCGCAAGCCUGAUGCAGCGACGCCGCGUGGGGGAUGACGGCCUUCGGGUUGUAAACUCCUUUCGCUAGGGACGAAGCGCAAGUGACGGUACCUGGAGAAGAAGCACCGGCUAACUACGUG
rnacentral:rRNA from 1 species